rnacentral:rRNA from 1 species
UUGGAGGGCAAGUCUGGUGCCAGCAGCCGCGGUAAUUCCAGCUCCAAUAGCGUAUAUUAAAGUUGUUGCAGUUAAAAAGCUCGUAGUUGAAUUUCGGGAUCAAUUAAUUGGUCGUGCCUCUGGUACGUACUGAUUUUAUUGGUUUCUCCCUUCUGACGAACCAUGAUGUCAUUAAUUUGGUGUCGUGGAGAAUCAGGACUGUUACUUUGAAAAAAUUAGAGUGUUUAAAGCAAGCUAACGCUUGAAUACAUUAGCAUGGAAUAAUGAAAUAGGACGUUUGACCCUAUUUUGUUGGUUUCUAGGAUCGACGUAAUGAUUAAUAGGGAUAGUUGGGGGCAUUAGUAUUCAAUUGUCAGAGGUGAGAUUCUUGGAUUUAUUGAAGACUAACUACCGCGAAAGCAUUUGCCAAGGAUGUUUUCAUUAAUCAAGAACGAAAGUUAGGGGAUCGAAGACGAUCAGAUACCGUCGUAGUCUUAACCAUAAACUAUGCCGACUAGGGAUCGGAUGAUGUUAAUUCUUUUUAAUGACUCAUUCGGCGCCUUACGGGAAACCAAAGUGUUUGGGUUC